rnacentral:rRNA from 1 species
UGGGAAUCUGCCCAGUAGUGGGGGACAACAGCCGGAAACGGCUGCUAAUACCGCAUACGCCCUACGGGGGAAAGGGGGGGAUCUUCGGACCUCUCGCUAUUGGAUGAGCCCGCGUCGGAUUAGCUAGUUGGUAGGGUAAAGGCCUACCAAGGCUACGAUCCGUAACUGGUCUGAGAGGAUGAUCAGUCACACUGGAACUGAGACACGGUCCAGACUCCGUACGGGAGCAG